UUUCCGUAGGUGAACCUGCGGAAGGAUCAUUAAUGUGUUUGGGCCUCACGGCUCUUCAUUCCGACGCUGUGCGCCUUCGGGCUGCACGCUGAGGGAGCAUAUAUCCACCCCUGUGCACACACACGGUGGCGAGCUGGGUAACGGCUCGCCGCUGAUCUUUACACACGUCUAAAAGUCACUGUAUGUUUAUUUGAGAUAAAAACACAACUUUCAGCAACGGAUCUCUUGGCUCUC
rnacentral:misc_RNA from 1 species